AAAUUGAAGAGUUUGAUCAUGGCUCAGAUUGAACGCUGGCGGCAGGCCUAACACAUGCAAGUCGAACGGUAGCACAGAGAGCUUGCUCUCGGGUGACGAGUGGCGGACGGGUGAGUAAUGUCUGGGAAACUGCCUGAUGGAGGGGGAUAACUACUGGAAACGGUGGCUAAUACCGCAUAACGUCGMAAGACCAAAGAGGGGGACCUUCGGGCCUCUUGCCAUCAGAUGUGCCCAGAUGGGAUUAGCUWGUUGGUGAGGUAACGGCUCACCAAGGCGACGAUCCCUAGCUGGUCUGAGAGGAUGACCAGCCACACUGGAACUGAGACACGGUCCAGACUCCUACGGGAGGCAGCAGUGGGGAAUAUUGCACAAUGGGCGCAAGCCUGAUGCAGCCAUGCCGCGUGUAUGAAGAAGGCCUUCGGGUUGUAAAGUACU
rnacentral:rRNA from 1 species